GGGGAUGUAGCACAAUGGUAGUGCCUCAGUCUUCCAAACUGAUUACGCGGGUUCGAUUCCCGUCAUCCCCU
rnacentral:tRNA from 1 species